UUAAAGGCUCUGAAUAAUUACACUCUCUUCUUGCUCUUUAGCUACCCCAGGAACCUGAAAGUUCAUUGAUUGCUGCCCAUCCUGCCCAGGAAGAGGAGUUGGCAGAGAGAGGAGAGAGUGAAGGUGCAUGUGCACCUCAGGAGCCUCCAGACUCAGCUGAUCUGCAAAUGUCUUGGAGCUCUCUUGAAGACUUUGAUUUCUGUGAAUGGAUUGGGAAAGGAAGUUAUGGAGCGGUGAGUUACUCAUCCCUAAUUAAGAUUCAGUUGUUUAUUAGCAUAUUCAGGGAAACUUAAUGAAUUUGCUUUCAUUCCAGGUCUUUCUAGGAGAACAUAAGAAAACAAGAAAGUUGGUUGCCAUCAAACGUGUAUCAAAGGCAGUCGUUUUUAGCACUUUACAAAUGGAACGUCUUUUUGAGGAGAAAAGCAUCUUAAAGAUGGCGAGAGAUGAGAAAGCCCCUUUCCUUGUGGGUUUAGUUUGUUCAUUCCAGAGAAAACACAAUCUUUACUUAGCG